GAGAUAUGUUCUAUUUAUAAUGUAAUUUAUUAUCAUUUUAAUGAGGGAAACACAACUUUUUUUUUCCCCAGGGGAUCAAACCCAUGCCAGACAAGCAGUCCGCCACUGAGGUACACCAGUGUUCACAACAAUGUGUUUUGACUACAACCACGUAAAUGAUUUGCUGUGAAGAGAGAAUACAAAGUUAUAAAAGAUUGGAGAGAUUUAGGACAAGCCUGGAUGUCUACAUGGAGCUAAACAAUACUUGAAUCAAACAAAACGAAAAGAAAGGACAUCUGGGAACAAGAAAGGGAAAAUGACAAAGACAUGGAAAUAGCAG
rnacentral:lncRNA from 1 species